AUUGAACGCUGGCGGCAUGCCUUACACAUGCAAGUCGAACGGCAGCGCGGACUUCGGUCUGGCGGCGAGUGGCGAACGGGUGAGUAAUACAUCGGAACGUACCCUGUUGUGGGGGAUAACUAGUCGAAAGAUUAGCUAAUACCGCAUACGACCUGAGGGUGAAAGUGGGGGACCGCAAGGCCUCACGCAGCAGGAGCGGCCGAUGUCUGAUUAGCUAGUUGGUGGGGUAAAGGCCCACCAAGGCGACGAUCAGUAGCUGGUCUGAGAGGACGAUCAGCCACACUGGGACUGAGACACGGCCCAGACUCCUACGGAGGCAGCAGUGGGGAUUUUGGACAAUGGGGGCAACCCUGAUCCAGCAAUGCCGCGUGUGU
rnacentral:rRNA from 1 species